rnacentral:rRNA from 1 species
CGCAACCCUUAUCCUUUGUUGCCAGCGAGUAAUGUCGGGAACUCAAAGGAGACUGCCGGUGAUAAACCGGAGGAAGGUGGGGAUGACGUCAAGUCAUCAUGGCCCUUACGAGUAGGGCUACACACGUGCUACAAUGGCAUAUACAAAGAGAAGCGAACUCGCGAGAGCAAGCGGACCUCAUAAAGUAUGUCGUAGUCCGGAUUGGAGUCUGCAACUCGACUCCAUGAAGUCGGAAUCGCUAGUAAUCGUAGAUCAGAAUGCUACGGUGAAUACGUU